rnacentral:tRNA from 1 species
UCCCUGGUGGCAGAAGGUAAUGCUUUGGGUUUUUACCCCAAACUAUGGGUGUCAGCCCCCAGAGAG